GUACUUGUUUCGGCAGUACAUACACCAAAAUUGGAACGAUACAGAGAAGAUUCGUAUGGCCCUGCUCAAGGACACGCAAAAUCGCGAAGCGUUCCACAGUUUU